CAAGGUGGUGACAUAGUUUAUGGUGAUGGAAGGGGAGGCAAUUCCAUAUAUGGAGGCACUUUUCCUGAUGAGAAUUUUAAGAUAAAGCAUUCACAUGCAGGUGUCGUUUCCAUGGUGAAUUCAGGACCAGAUUCCAAUGGCUCACAGUUCUUUAUCACCACUGUGAAGGCCAGCUGGUUGGAUGGAGAACAUGUCGUCUUUGGCAAGGUUAUUCAGGGAAUGGAUACUGUUUAUGCAAUUGAAGGGGGGGCAGGGACAUACAGUGGAAAACCCAGAAAGAAAGUAGUUAUUGCUGACUCUGGGGAGAUACCCAAGAGCAAGUGGGAUGAGGAAAGAUAAGCUUCUCAUUAAGUUAACCACAGCAAGUUUUUCCAUUUUGGAUUUGCUAAUUUAAUUCAUAGAUAACUUACUUGUGUUGCUUUUGUAAAAUGGCCUUGAAUUUUCAUUGCUCAUGAUUUAGAUCCUUGGCUUUUCUGGGAAAUAUCAUUUUUUCU
rnacentral:misc_RNA from 1 species